rnacentral:rRNA from 1 species
GAGUUUGAUCCUGGUUCAGGAUGAACGCUAGCUACAGGCUUAACACAUGCAAGUCGAGGGGCAGCAUUUCAGUUUGCUUGCAAACUGGAGAUGGCGACCGGCGCACGGGUGAGUAACACGUAUCCAACCUGCCGAUAACUCGGGGAUAGCCUUUCGAAAGAAAGAUUAAUACCCGAUGGUAUAAUCAGACCGCAUGGUCUUGUUAUUAAAGAAUUUCGGUUAUCGAUGGGGAUGCGUUCCAUUAGGCAGUUGGUGAGGUAACGGCUCACCAAACCUUCGAUGGAUAGGGGUUCUGAGAGGAAGGUCCCCCACAUUGGAACUGAGACACGGUCCAAACUCCUACGGGAGGCAGCAGUGAGGAAUAUUGGUCAAUGGGCGCAGGCCUGAACCAGCCAAGUAGCGUGAAGGAUGACUGCCCUAUGGGUUGUAAACUUCUUUUAUAUGGGAAUAAAGUUUUCCACGUGUGGAAUUUUGUAUGUACCAUAUGAAUAAGGAUCGGCUAACUCCGUGCCAGCAGCCGCGGUAAUAC